CUGUGUGUGUGUGUGUGUGUGUAUUCAGCAGUCUGUGUGUGUGUAUUCAGCAGUUGGUGUGUAUGUGUGUGUAUUCAGCAGUCGGUGUGUGUUCUGAGUAUAUACACAGACAACUGAGUAUACACACAGACUGCUGAGUAUACACACAAACAGACUG